GUUUAGUAACGGCGAGUGAAGCGGCAAAAGCUCAAAUUUGAAAUCUAGUACGUUCGGUGCUCGAGUUGUAAUUUGUAGAGGGAUACUUUGGGGCCGUUCCUCGUCUAUGUUCCUUGGAACAGGACGUCAUAGAGGGUGAGAAUCCCGUGUGGCGAGGAGUGCGGUUCUAUGUAAAGUGCCUUCGAAGAGUCGAGUUGUUUGGGAAUGCAGCUCUAAGUGGGUGGUAAAUUCCAUCUAAAGCUAAAUAUUGGCGAGAGACCGAUAGCGAACAAGUACAGUGAUGGAAAGAUGAAAAGAACUUUGAAAAGAGAGUGAAAAAGUACGUGAAAUUGUUGAAAGGGAAGGGCAUUUGAUCAGACAUGGUGUUUUGCGCCCUCCGCUCCUUGUGGGUGGGGGACUCUCGCAGCUCACUGGGCCAACAUCAGUUUUGGUGGUCGGACAAAUCCGUAGGAAUGUAGCUUACCUCGGUAAGUGUUAUAGCCUGCGGGAAUACGGCCAGCCGGGACUGAGGACUGCGACUUUUGUCAAGGAUGUUGGCAUAAUGGUUAUAUGCCGCCCGUCUUGAAACACGGACCAAGGAGUCUAACGUCUAUGCGAGUGUUUGGGUGUAAAACCCGUACGCGUAAUGAAAGUGAACGUAGGUUGGGGCCCUCUCGGGGGUGCACAAUCGACCGAUCCUGAUGUUUUCAGAUGGAUUUGAGUAAGAGCAUAGCUGUUGGGACCCGAAAGAUGGUGAACUAUGCCUGAAUAGGGUGAAGCCAGAGGAAACUCUGGUGGAGGCUCGUAGCGGUUUCUGACGUGCAAAUCGAUUCGUCGA
rnacentral:rRNA from 1 species